ACUGAAUCUAGCCCAAAACCCAAUAAACAAAACUACCACACAACUAAUAAAUCAAAACAUUUAAUUACCUGAUAAAGUAUAGGAGAUAGAAAUAUUAUUUGGAGCUAUAGAGAAAGUACCGCAAGGGAAUGAUGAAAGAUAAUCUAAAGUAUUAAAUAGCAAAGAUUAACCCUUAUACCUUUUGCAUAAUGAACUAGCCAGCAUAACUUAGCAAAGAGAACUUAAGCUAAGUUCCCCGAAACCAGACGAGCUACUUAUAAACAAUUUAUAAGAAUAAACUCAUCUAUGUGGCAAAAUAGUGAGAAGAUUUAUAAGUAGAGGUGAAAAGCCUAACGAGCCUGGUGAUAGCUGGUUGCCCAGAACAGAAUUUUAGUUCAACUUUAAAUUUACCAAAAAACAUACAAAAAUUCUAAUGUAAAUUUAAAAUAUAGUCUAAAAAGGUACAGCUUUUUAGACAAAGGAUACAGCCUUACCUAGAGAGUAAAAUAUAUAACCUAACCAUAGUAGGCCUAAGAGCAGCCAUCAAUUAAGAAAGCGUUCAAGCUCGACAACUAUAAUACCAUUAAUACCAAAACCCCCAUCAACUCCUAGUAUGCUACUGGGCUAGUCUAUACAAAUAUAGAAGUAAUAAUGCUAGUAUGAGUAACAAGAAACACUUCUCCCUGCAUAAGCCUAUAACAGAAACGGAUACCCGCUGAUAGUUAACAACAAGAUAAAUAUAAAUAACUAUAAAUAAUCCUAUCAAAUCAAUUGUUAGCCCAACACAGGAAUGCAAUUAAAGGAAAGAUUAAAAGAAGUAAAAGGAACUCGGCAAACAUAAACCCCGCCUGUUUACCAAAAACAUCACCUCCAGCAUUACUAGUAUUGGAGGCACUGCCUGCCCAGUGACAUAAGUUAAACGGCCGCGGUAUCCUGACCGUGCAAAGGUAGCAUAAUCAUUUGUUCUCUAAAUAAGGACUUGUAUGAAUGGCCACACGAGGGUUUAACUGUCUCUUACUUCCAAUCAGUGAAAUUGACCUCCCCGUGAAGAGGCGGGGAUAAAAUAAUAAGACGAGAAGACCCUAUGGAGCUUUAAUUAAUUAAUUCAUAAUAUUAUCAGACAUCUCCCAAUAGGCAUAACCAAAACUAUUAAUGAGUUAAUAAUUUAGGUUGGGGUGACCUCGGAGCAUAAAAAAACCCCCGAGAAAAAAAAUUAAGACCUACUAGUCAAAAUACAUUUCCAUUUAUUGAUCCAAAAUAAUUUGAUCAACGGAACAAGUUACCCUAGGGAUAACAGCGCAAUCCUAUUUAAGAGUCCAUAUCGACAAUAGGGUUUACGACCUCGAUGUUGGAUCAGGACAUCCUAAUGGUGCAGCAGCUAUUAAAGGUUCGUUUGUUCAACGAUUAAAGUCCUACGUGAUCUGAGUUCAGACCGGAGCAAUCCAGGUCGGUUUCUAUCUAUUAUACAAUUUUUCCCAGUACGAAAGGACAAGAAAAAUAAGGCCAACUUAAACAAAAGCGCCUUAAGAUUAACGGAUGAAAUAAUCUUAAUCCGGCUAAUCUACUUCCAACCCUGCCCUAGAGACAGGGUUU
rnacentral:rRNA from 1 species